CUAACACAUGCAAGUCGAACGGUAACAGGAAGAAGCUUGCUUCUUUGCUGACGAGUGGCGGACGGGUGAGUAAUGUCUGGGAAACUGCCUGAUGGAGGGGGAUAACUACUGGAAACGGUAGCUAAUACCGCAUAACGUCGCAAGACCAAAAAGGGGGACCUUCGGGCCUCUUGCCAUCGGAUGUGCCCAGAUGGGAUUAGCUAGUAGGUGGGGUAACGGCUCACCUAGGCGACGAUCCCUAGCUGGUCUGAGAGGAUGACCAGCCACACUGGAACUGAGACACGGUCCAGACUCCUACGGGAGGCAGCAGUGGGGAAUAUUGCACAAUGGGCGCAAGCCUGAUGCAGCCAUGCCGCGUGUAUGAAGAAGGCCUUCGGGUUGUAAAGUACUUUCAGCGGGGAGGAAGGGAGUAAAGUUAAUACCUUUGCUCAUUGACGUUACCCGCAGAAGAAGCACCGGCUAACUCCGUGCCAGCAGCCGCGGUAAUACGGAGGGUGCAAGCGUUAAUCGG
rnacentral:rRNA from 1 species